rnacentral:rRNA from 1 species
AGUGGCGGACGGGUGAGUAACGCGUGAGAAUCUGCCUUGGGGUCGGGGACAACCACUGGAAACGGUGGCUAAUACCGGAUAAGCCGAUUGGUGAAAGAUUUAUUGCCCGAAGAGGAGCUCGCGUCUGAUUAGCUAGUUGGUGAGGUAAGAGCUCACCAAGGCAGCGAUCAGUAGCUGGUCUGAGAGGACGAUCAGCCACACUGGGACUGAGACACGGCCCAGACUCCUACGGGAGGCAGCAGUGGGGAAUUUUCCGCAAUGGGUGAAAGCCUGACGGAGCAAGACCGCGUGAGGGAGGAAGGCUCUUGGGUUGUAAACCUCUUUUCUCAGGGAAGAAGCUCUGACGGUACCUGAGGAAUCAGCCUCGGCUAACUCCGUGCCAGCAGCCGCGGUAAUACGGAGGAGGCAAGCGUUAUCCGGAAUUAUUGGGCGUAAAGCGUCCGCAGGUGGCGAUUCAAGUCUGCUGUCAAAGCACGGGGCUUAACUCCGUAAAGGCAGUGGAAACUGAAUAGCUAGAGUGCCGUAGGGGUAGAGGGAAUUCCCGGUGUAGCGGUGAAAUGCGUAGAGAUCGGGAAGAACAUCGGUGGCGAAAGCGCUCUACUGGACGGCAACUGACACUCAGGGACGAAAGCUAGGGGAGCGAAUGGGAUUAGAUACCCC